rnacentral:rRNA from 1 species
GUGGGGAAUAUUGCACAAUGGGCGCAAGCCUGAUGCAGCCAUGCCGCGUGUAUGAAGAAGGCCUUCGGGUUGUAAAGUACUUUCAGCGGGGAGGAAGGUGUUGUGGUUAAUAACCGCAGCAAUUGACGUUACCCGCAGAAGAAGCACCGGCUAACUCCGUGCCAGCAGCCGCGGUAAUACGGAGGGUGCAAGCGUUAAUCGGAAUUACUGGGCGUAAAGCGCACGCAGGCGGUCUGUCAAGUCGGAUGUGAAAUCCCCGGGCUCAACCUGGGAACUGCAUUCGAAACUGGCAGGCUUGAGUCUUGUAGAGGGGGGUAGAAUUCCAGGUGUAGCGGUGAAAUGCGUAGAGAUCUGGAGGAAUACCGGUGGCGAAGGCGGCCCCCUGGACAAAGACUGACGCUCAGGUGCGAAAGCGUGGGGAGCAA